AGUCCAUGUCAAAACAAGUGAGAAAAGAUUUUAAAACUGGCUACCAGUUUCUUCAAUUGUACAAAGCAAGACAAAAGGGACAGCACAUGAAAAGACAUGAUUGUGAGCCGAAAUAAGGCAUACAAAAAUUAUGUCAACAGACAAGUUUGGGAACUCAUGAAAAUACCAAGGUUCAAAGGGUUUAUAUGAUGAGCAUGGCGAAGCAGAGAUACCGUGUUUGUUUCAGAGUCACUCUUAAUAAUCUGAGUUUGGGUCAACGAUGCAGCAAGUCAAUGAUAAAUGCUUAUGGUUGGAAGCAAGGUUAAAUGUGAUGGGGCAAGAGCGAUCGUCGCGGAAGCUAAAGCCACAAACCAGCCACCGUGUUUUAAACUCACAAGUUUUCUUUGAUGAAACAGGAAACAUAUUACCUUCAAUGCAAGGACUUCAGAGCAUAAAUAUCUAGGCCUGCAAUGCCUCACAUUUAAAUAUGCAUGAAGCAAUGUUGCUGCAAAGGUUUGGUAAUCAAAUCAUGUUUUGAUAUGAUUUCAAGAGCCCGCCUGAAGAACAAGGUGAUGAGAUAGAAAGUCAGGAGCCCACCUGAAGAACAGGGGUGAUGAAAUGGCAAGUCAGGAACAUACCUGAAGAAUAGGGUGAUUAAAUAGUAAGUCAGGAGCCCACCUGAAAAACAGGGCGGAUAAAUGGAAAAUCAAGAACAAGGUGAAAAAGUUGAAAAGACAAGCAACAAGGUGAAGCAAUUGAAAGCCAAGCAACAAGUUGAAGAAAUUGCAAAUCAGGAGCCCGCCUGAAGAAUAGGGUGAUGAAACUCAAGUCAAGAGUCCAAAAGAAGAUGCAUAGAUAGGAUUUUUGUAAUUCCAUUUAUGUUUUUAACUCGUAAUUUUCAUUUUGAUGUAAUGACAGAGCUGUGGACCGGAACCUCGAUGGAACCUCACUCGACUCUCCAACUUGGUAUAGUCCUUCUCUUUCAAAUAUUUUGAAAUACCGGUCACUUGAUUCAUUCAUAACUUGGGUAGAUAGGUUGUCCUAAGUCAGGACUCGGUUGUCAUUCUUCCUUCUGUUCCUUCCUUUGAAUAAUGGUCGGGUCAAAAUUCUAUCUCGUUGUCUACUAUUUUGUCUGAAAACACUUCGUGUUUACAUUCAAAGGGGGCAUGAUGUAGACACCUAAUUUUGUCCCUCCCGAAGACCCAAGUUACACAUUUUUAUCCUCGUCUUACCACGCGCCCUACGCCAUGUAAUUAUCCCUACACAAAAUGACAAAAAUAAUAAUCCUUAAAAAAUUUUAUCUUUGUUCUAACAAACUCCCCAAUUAAAAGCGGACACCUCACCACCCCACUACCCAUCCACGUGACCCCCCCUCCUCACAUUUCUUAACCACAAAGGAAAAGAAAAACGGACAGCUGUACAAAGUUGAGGCCAUUUUUUCUCUCUUUUGGAUUUGAGAGGAACAAAAACAUACAAUAUAUUUCUCAGGGGGCCCACAGAUUUCCUUCGAUUAGAAAUACCCUCACAAGUCAUCUUCUUCAGAUGGACAAUCUUCAUAUUCAUGCACCAGCUCACUGAAACAAUACUAAUACACACUCCAGCGAGAGAGAGAUAUAGAUGCACACACGCAGAGAGAAUCGGGAGAGAGCGAAUAAAAAAGGGGCCUGAACAGUGGUCGGCUAGCGUGAAUAGUAAACGCUGAACAGAGUAGGGUGAAGAACAGCUUUUCUCGGUGAGCUUGUCACCGGAAUAGUGCCUCAUUGUAGAGUCCGUCCACUCCUCCCUAAAACCCAAUUGAAACCAGCUUCAAACCCCCUAAAAUCAUGAUGCCAGUGCCCGACUACUCCGUCGCCACCGUUGUUACUGUUUCGGUGAUGGAGUUUUCGCCUGGAAUGCGCCAAAUCGGUCAAAAUCGUCCCAAAAAUAUCAAGAAAACAGUGAGUUCACCUUGGGUUUUUGACAAUUAAGUUAGAGGUCUAUUUGUGGUAUUGGUAAAAAAUGGAACAAAAGAGAUAUAUCGAAGUUGGAGUUAUUCGUUUGGUGAGGCUCGAUCCGAGAUUAUGGAUGCGGUCCAAAUGAAAGGAGCAACUUUAAUCUAAAGCAACAUUUGAGGUUCAAUUCUAUCUUCUGUAUUUUUAUUUAGUUUUUAACAUAAUUAUGAAUGAUUUAUGUGUUUGGCAUGUUUGAAUCUUCGUGAUGUGUGGGUUGAUGUUGGAUUUGGAUAUGAAAACUUGAUCGGUGGAUUGUAUAUUGAAUUGGUUUAAUCGUGUUAAAAAAGUUGGGGCGCGAAUUGAAAAUUUGCUAAAUUGAAUUAGGAUUAAUUUUGAUUUAUUGUUAUUUUGAUUCAUUAACGUCGUCGAUCGUGAUAGUUCCAUGAUAGGUCAAGUUAGGUAGGCAAAAGUAGGUUGGGUAGGCAAAGUUUAGGAUCUGUGAUUGUUGAAAUGAUGAAAUAUUUGUGGAGUGGUUUCGAUUUAUGCAUUGGGAUCUAUUGUAUUCAUUUGGCCGGGUAAUGCCCCGAGGGAUUUGUAUUGAUUCACCGGGGAAUGCCCCGACGUAUCAUGUAUUCGGAGGACGUCCGUGAUGAAGGCCCAAAGCAUCGGGUUAGGUAUUGGAUCGUAGUUUAGGAUUAGUGUAGAUUAGCGUAGGUUUAUUUUUCAGUACAUUUUUUUUUUUUCAUUUCGGGUUGUAAUAAUUGGACUGGACAUUAUUAUUUUGGCUUUUGGAUUGUUGUUUGAUGUUUGUUUAUAUGCUUUGUGUGGUUUAUACAUUUGUGGUGUCUAAUUAGCCGAUACUCUCCACCAAGAGACCGUGGUCGAGCCACGGGAUCGAGGGGUGCCUAACACCUUUCCCUUGGUCAACAGAAUUCCUUAGUCGGAAUCUCUGUUUGCGGAUCAAUUUUACAGAGUGAAAAUCAUUUUGAAAAAAGUUUUCCAAAGGUGACUUGGCAUACCCGAUUAUGCCAAGUGGCGACUCUGAGUUUUGAAUAUAAAUAAUCUUUUUCAAAAUAAAUUUUUAUUUUUUGUCACUUUGAUAAUAAAAAUCCUUUCAAACUUAAAACAAAAUCUUUUUUUGUUAAAAAAAGGGUGUGACAAGGAAAAGGAAAAAGAAAAAGAAAUAGAAGAAAAAGAAAAGGAAAGGAAAAAAUAAAAAAGGAAAAAUGAAUAUUAAGGAAUAAAAAUCUGCCACUAAGAUGGUAUGACACGCGGCAUUUGCCUCAUUCAGUGUUCGGUCAUGUGGAUUUUAAAUUGUCAUAGUGAAAAAAUAUUUAAUAAAUCAGUAAUUUUUGUUAAGUUUCAUACUAAGUUGAAUGUAUUGAGCCUAUAUAAUUAGAGAAAAACUUAAUUAAUAAACAAAAGUAAGAGGUAUUUUUGCAAGAACACAAGGAUAAUCAAUAAUGAAGUGUGAAAUAAAGAACAUAAGUGAAUAUAAAGAAACCAUAGCCGGUGGGAAAAAGGGAGAUCUUAUAUCAACAAUUUUGAGGUGGGGUUGGUACUGUGGGGUAGUAGAGAGGGGUAUUCACGGGUUGGUUUAGGCUGAUUAUUGGUCAAAAUCAAAAUCAAAUCAAUAUACUAAGUUUUAAAUUAUUAAAACCAAAUCAUACCAAAUAUAAUAUAUAUUUAUUGAUUUGAUUGUUAUCGAUUUAGGUUCGUUUUGAUUCAAUUGUUUGAUUAUUAACCAAAUACGAAAUAAAAGAAAUGAUUCAUUCAAAAGAAAAAAAA